CCGGGAGAAGGGCGAUUCCGCAGCCUGGGUUUUUGUACGAUCACAAACCUGUUUCGUUUCACUGUGUCUCUCGCACAGUAAUAGCGGGCGGUGUCCUCGGGCUUCAGGCCGGUCAUUUGCAGAUACAGCUCACUCUUGGAGUUAUCCCUGGAGAUGGUGAAUCGCCCUUUCACUGCAUCGAGGUAGUAUAUAGUACUCCCAUCGUAUCUUAUAUAAGCGACCCAUUCUAAUCCCUUCCC